rnacentral:rRNA from 1 species
UACAGAGGUCCCGAGCGUUGUUCGGAUUCACUGGGCGUAAAGGGUGCGCAGGUGGGUUUGCAAGUUCGAUGUGAAAGCCCCGGGCUUAACCCGGGAAUGGCAUUGGAUACUGCAGAUCUGGAGGAUCGGAGGGGGGACUGGAAUUCUUGGUGUAGCAGUGAAAUGCGUAGAUACCAAGAGGAACACCAGUGGCGAAGGCGAGUCCCUGGACGAUACCUGACACUGAGGCACGAAAGCUAGGGGAGCAAACAGG